AUGGGGAGCAGAAUCAGGGCGCCUCACCCAUGGCCUGGACCCCCCCUCCUCCUCAACUUUCUGGCUCACUGCACAAGUGCUGUGGCCUCCUAUGUCCUGAACCAGCCGUCAUCAGUGACUGUGACCCUGAGGCAGCCGGCCCACAUCACCUGUGGGCGAGACAGCAUCGGAAGUAAAAAUGUUCAAUGGUACCAGCAGAAGCCGGGCCAGGCCCCCGUGCUGAUUAUCUAUGGUGAUAGCCUCAGGCCGACAGGGAUCCCUGAGCGAUUCUCUGGAGCCAACUCCGGGAACACGGCCACCCUGACCAUCAGCGGGGCCCUGGCCGAGGAUGAAGCUGACUAUUACUGCCAGGUGUGGGACAGCAAUGCUGAUGCUCACAGUGACACAGGCAAAUGGGGAAGUGAGACAUGA